UAUUGCCUACGGGACGCAGCAGUGAGGAAUAUUGGUCAAUGGUCGAGAGACUAAACCAGCCAAGCCGCGUGAGGGAGGAAGGUACAGAGUAUCGUAACCCUCUUUUGUCAGGGAACAAAGGCGGGGACGUGUCCCCGGAUGAGUGUACCUGAAGAAAAAGCAUCGGCUAACUCCGUGCCAGCAGCCGCGGUAAUACGGAGGAUGCGAGCGUUAUCCGGAUUUAUUGGGUUUAAAGGGUGCGCAGGCGGCCUGUUAAGUCAGCGGUCAAAGCCCGGGGCUCAACCCCGGCCCGCCGUUGAAACUGG
rnacentral:rRNA from 1 species